AUUGAACGCUGGCGGCAUGCCUUACACAUGCAAGUCGAACGGCAGCACGGGAGCAAUCCUGGUGGCGAGUGGCGAACGGGUGAGUAAAGUAUCGGAACGUGCCCAGUCGUGGGGGAUAACGUAGCGAAAGUUACGCUAAUACCGCAUACGAUCUAUGGAUGAAAGCGGGGGAUCGCAAGACCUCGCGCGAUUGGAGCGGCCGAUAUCAGAUCAGGUAGUUGGUGGGGUAAAGGCCCACCAAGCCGACGAUCUGUAGCUGGUCUGAGAGGACGACCAGCCACACUGGUACUGAGACACGGCCCAGACUCCUACGGGAGGCAGCAUUGGGGAAUUUUGGACAAUGGGCGUAAGCCUGAUCCAGCCAUGCCUCGUGCAGGAUGAAGGCCUUCGGGUUGUAAACUGCUUUUGUACGGAACGAAAAGGACUGCCCUAAUACGGUGGUCCCAUGACGGUACCGUAAGAAUAAGCACCGGCUAACUACGUGCCAGCCGCCGCCGUAAUAC
rnacentral:rRNA from 1 species